rnacentral:rRNA from 1 species
GGUUAAGCGACUAAGCGUACACGGUGGAUGCCCUGGCAGUCAGAGGCGAUGAAGGACGUGCUAAUCUGCGAUAAGCGUCGGUAAGGUGAUAUGAACCGUUAUAACCGGCGAUUUCCGAAUGGGGAAACCCAGUGUGUUUCGACACACUAUCAUUAACUGAAUCCAUAGGUUAAUGAGGCGAACCGGGGGAACUGAAACAUCUAAGUACCCCGAGGAAAAGAAAUCAACCGAGAUUCCCCCAGUAGCGGCGAGCGAACGGGGAGGAGCCCAGAGCCUGAAUCAGUGUGUGUGUUAGUGGAAGCGUCUGGAAAGGCGCGCGAUACAGGGUGACAGCCCCGUACACAAAAAUGCACAUGCUGUGAGCUCGAUGAGUAGGGCGGGACACGUGGUAUCCUGUCUGAAUAUGGGGGGACCAUCCUCCAAGGCUAAAUACUCCUGACUGACCGAUAGUGAACCAGUACCGUGAGGGAAAGGCGAAAAGAACCCCGGCGAGGGGAGUGAAAAAGAACCUGAAACCGUGUACGUACAAGCAGUGGGAGCACGCUUCGGCGUGUGACUGCGUACCUUUUGUAUAAUGGGUCAGCGACUUAUAUUCUGUAGCAAGGUUAACCGAAUAGGGGAGCCGAAGGGAAACCGAGUCUUAACUGGGCGUUAAGUUGCAGGGUAUAGACCCGAAACCCGGUGAUCUAGCCAUGGGCAGGUUGAAGGUUGGGUAACACUAACUGGAGGACCGAACCGACUAAUGUUGAAAAAUUAGCGGAUGACUUGUGGCUGGGGGUGAAAGGCCAAUCAAACCGGGAGAUAGCUGGUUCUCCCCGAAAGCUAUUUAGGUAGCGCCUCGUGAACUCAUCUCCGGGGGUAGAGCACUGUUUCGGCAAGGGGGUCAUCCCGACUUACCAACCCGAUGCAAACUGCGAAUACCGGAGAAUGUUAUCACGGGAGACACACGGCGGGUGCUAACGUCCGUCGUGAAGAGGGAAACAACCCAGACCGCCAGCUAAGGUCCCAAAGUCAUGGUUAAGUGGGAAACGAUGUGGGAAGGCCCAGACAGCCAGGAUGUUGGCUUAGAAGCAGCCAUCAUUUAAAGAAAGCGUAAUAGCUCACUGGUCGAGUCGGCCUGCGCGGAAGAUGUAACGGGGCUAAACCAUGCACCGAAGCUGCGGCAGCGACACUGUGUGUUGUUGGGUAGGGGAGCGUUCUGUAAGCCUGUGAAGGUGUACUGUGAGGUAUGCUGGAGGUAUCAGAAGUGCGAAUGCUGACAUAAGUAACGAUAAAGCGGGUGAAAAGCCCGCUCGCCGGAAGACCAAGGGUUCCUGUCCAACGUUAAUCGGGGCAGGGUGAGUCGACCCCUAAGGCGAGGCCGAAAGGCGUAGUCGAUGGGAAACAGGUUAAUAUUCCUGUACUUGGUGUUACUGCGAAGGGGGGACGGAGAAGGCUAUGUUGGCCGGGCGACGGUUGUCCCGGUUUAAGCGUGUAGGCUGGUUUUCCAGGCAAAUCCGGAAAAUCAAGGCUGAGGCGUGAUGACGAGGCACUACGGUGCUGAAGCAACAAAUGCCCUGCUUCCAGGAAAAGCCUCUAAGCAUCAGGUAACAUCAAAUCGUACCCCAAACCGACACAGGUGGUCAGGUAGAGAAUACCAAGGCGCUUGAGAGAACUCGGGUGAAGGAACUAGGCAAAAUGGUGCCGUAACUUCGGGAGAAGGCACGCUGAUAUGUAGGUGAAGCGACUUGCUCGUGGAGCUGAAAUCAGUCGAAGAUACCAGCUGGCUGCAACUGUUUAUUAAAAACACAGCACUGUGCAAACACGAAAGUGGACGUAUACGGUGUGACGCCUGCCCGGUGCCGGAAGGUUAAUUGAUGGGGUUAGCGCAAGCGAAGCUCUUGAUCGAAGCCCCGGUAAACGGCGGCCGUAACUAUAACGGUCCUAAGGUAGCGAAAUUCCUUGUCGGGUAAGUUCCGACCUGCACGAAUGGCGUAAUGAUGGCCAGGCUGUCUCCACCCGAGACUCAGUGAAAUUGAACUCGCUGUGAAGAUGCAGUGUACCCGCGGCAAGACGGAAAGACCCCGUGAACCUUUACUAUAGCUUGACACUGAACAUUGAGCCUUGAUGUGUAGGAUAGGUGGGAGGCUUUGAAGUGUGGACGCCAGUCUGCAUGGAGCCGACCUUGAAAUACCACCCUUUAAUGUUUGAUGUUCUAACGUUGACCCGUAAUCCGGGUUGCGGACAGUGUCUGGUGGGUAGUUUGACUGGGGCGGUCUCCUCCUAAAGAGUAACGGAGGAGCACGAAGGUUGGCUAAUCCUGGUCGGACAUCAGGAGGUUAGUGCAAUGGCAUAAGCCAGCUUGACUGCGAGCGUGACGGCGCGAGCAGGUGCGAAAGCAGGUCAUAGUGAUCCGGUGGUUCUGAAUGGAAGGGCCAUCGCUCAACGGAUAAAAGGUACUCCGGGGAUAACAGGCUGAUACCGCCCAAGAGUUCAUAUCGACGGCGGUGUUUGGCACCUCGAUGUCGGCUCAUCACAUCCUGGGGCUGAAGUAGGUCCCAAGGGUAUGGCUGUUCGCCAUUUAAAGUGGUACGCGAGCUGGGUUUAGAACGUCGUGAGACAGUUCGGUCCCUAUCUGCCGUGGGCGCUGGAGAACUGAGGGGGGCUGCUCCUAGUACGAGAGGACCGGAGUGGACGCAUCACUGGUGUUCGGGUUGUCAUGCCAAUGGCACUGCCCGGUAGCUAAAUGCGGAAGAGAUAAGUGCUGAAAGCAUCUAAGCACGAAACUUGCCCCGAGAUGAGUUCUCCCUGACCCUUUAAGGGUCCUGAAGGAACGUUGAAGACGACGACGUUGAUAGGCCGGGUGUGUAAGCGCAGCGAUGCGUUGAGCUAACCGGUACUAAUGAACCGUGAGGCUUAACCUU